rnacentral:rRNA from 1 species
AUUGAACGCUGGCGGCAGGCCUAACACAUGCAAGUCGAGCGGAUGAAGGGAGCUUGCUCCUGGAUUCAGCGGCGGACGGGUGAGUAAUGCCUAGGAAUCUGCCUGGUAGUGGGGGACAACGUUUCGAAAGGAACGCUAAUACCGCAUACGUCCUACGGGAGAAAGCAGGGGACCUUCGGGCCUUGCGCUAUCAAAUGAGCCUAGGUCGGAUUAGCUAGUUGGUGAGGUAAAGGCUCACCAAGGCGACGAUCCGUAACUGGUCUGAGAGGAUGAUCAGUCACACUGGAACGGAGACACGGUCCAGACUCCUACGGGAGGCAGCAGUGGGGAAUAUUGGACAAUGGGCGAAAGCCUGAUCCAGCCAUGCCGCGUGUGUGAAGAAGGUCUUCGGAUUGUAAAGCACUUUAAGUUGGGAGGAAGGGUUGUAGAUUAAUACUCUGCAAUUUUGACGUUACCGACAGAAUAAGCACCGGCUAACUCUGUGCCAGCCGCCGCGGUAACAC